AGGCUCUCUCCCUGCCAGAUUGUGGAUGGAAUGUUCGGGGAAUGGUUACUGAAGUGUUCCAGGCACCAGAGCUCAGGCAAGAAGUGGAAAACUGAGCAAGAUCCUGCACCAUUCAACGGCUAAAAUGACUUUUAAAACUAUCUGGUGAAUGGAAAUACCAUAUCAAGCCACUAGGUGGCAAAGCAGACUCGGAGAACGACCUCUGCCAGCAGGCGCUGAAGCAGCUGCCCGUUCCCCAUGCUGGCGACCAGGAACUUCAGCUUAGCUCAGUCAUGCAGUUCGCGGAGAAUAUCAAACAGAGUCAACAAAGCUUUGCAAUCAAACGUGUCUUUAAAGGGAAUCCAACUUGUGAACCUGGCUCUUGAUAUUCAUUUGAAGCUGCAAGGGGGAAAGAUGUUACCUAAUAUGGAGCAAUGGCUCUUAUUGUGAACAAAACAUCUCUGAAAGCCAAAACCGGAAUAAAAUUCUAUUUAAAAAGGAGAA
rnacentral:antisense_RNA from 1 species